ACUCUGGGAUAAGCCUUGGAAACGAGGUCUAAUACCGGAUACGUGACGCUCAGGCAUCUGAUGCGUCUGGAAAGAUUUAUCGGUCAGGGAUGGACUCGCGGCCUAUCAGCUUGUUGGUGGGGUAACGGCCCACCAAGGCGACGACGGGUAGCCGGCCUGAGAGGGCGACCGGCCACACUGGGACUGAGACACGGCCCAGACUCCUACGGGAGGCAGCAGUGGGGAAUAUUGCACAAUGGGCGCAAGCCUGAUGCAGCGACGCCGCGUGAGGGAUGAAGGCCUUCGGGUUGUAAACCUCUUUCAGCAGGGAAGAAGCGCAAGUGACGGUACCUGCAGAAGAAGCGCCGGCUAACUACGUGCCAGCAGCCGCGGUAAUACGUAGGGCGCAAGCGUUGUCCGGAAUUAUUGGGCGUAAAGAGCUCGUAGGCGGUUUGUCGCGUCUGCUGUGAAAACUCGAGGCUCAACCUCGGGCUUGCAGUGGGUACGGGCAGACUAGAGUGCGGUAGGGGUGACUGGAAUUCCUGGUGUAGCGGUGGAAUGCGCAGAUAUCAGGAGGAACACCGAUGGCGAAGGCAGGUCACUGGGCCGCAACUGACGCUGAGGAGCGAAAGCAUGGGGAGCGAACAGGAUUAGAUACCCUGGUAGUCCAUGCCGUAAACGUUGGGCACUAGGUGUGGGGCUCAUUCCACGAGUUCCGUGCCGCAGCAAACGCAUUAAGUGCCCCGCCUGGGGAGUACGGCCGCAAGGCUAAAACUCAAAGAAAUUGACGGGGGCCCGCACAAG
rnacentral:rRNA from 1 species